rnacentral:lncRNA from 1 species
GCCCUGCCGGUGCCAUCCUGCAGGACCGCCCGGCGCGGCCGAGUCUGGGCCGGCGGCGGCUGGGAAGCCAGGAGCGUUCUUAUCGGGCCUCGGACGACUUUACAAGCUAUUUCAAUGCCAUAAAAGUUUAUAGCCCUGCUUUAACUAGGGAGACUACAGUCGUGUACCGGAAACAAUUAGGGAAUAAAAUGAGGGAUAAUUAAAUGCCAAAAUUUGGGCCGCAGGUUUCACAAGUGCUGUAGGAAUUCGGGUGGAGGUUGACACUGCAAACGCACGUGAUCGCAGUCUUUCUGGCUAGGGGCAGAAACUGUGGCUUAUUCAUCCUUGUCUCACCUAUACCUUGCCCAAUGCCUGCUUCAGAAUAGACUCUGACUAUAAAAUAGGAUGAUACCUCCUUGGGUUAUGAUGAAGAUUAAGAAAGUUAAUAUAGGAAAACACUUUCUAAAGUUCCUAAUACUUUGAAACUAGACGUAUUUACCUCAAACCAACUCGACACGUUCCCAUGUAGUCUGCUCCCCUGAUGGGGUCCCCAGGGGUAGCAGCUUUAUUAGUCUGUACUGGGGCACCAUAAUGCAGACAAGAAACACUUUGAAAUCUUUAAUGCUCCUGGUGAGAUGAGGAACAGCUCUGUGGCAUUGCCAGCGGACACGUUUGCAUUCUGUCCUUUGGCAGCAGAGGAUAUCCAGUCCUUCCACAAAACAUACAACCAAAAACAAGGAAGGAAGAAAAGCCAAAGCCUAGGCAAGCUCACUGACGCCGCUCUCUGGCUGCCUUCCGUGUCCUCCUCUCCAACGGGUGUUCCGGCCCUUUCUCGUGCUGGAGUGGCCAGAUCUACGACUUCAGUUUGAACUUGGGGAGAAGUAGGUGGGAUCUCUGGCUUGCUUUGGCAUGAGACCCAGUUAGUAACAGAGUCCUUCCAGCUUUAAGCUCAGCUCAGUAGACCUCUCUCUGUGUUUGGGGAGACUCUCCAGGUAAUAAUAAAGGAUUAUUUUAC